AGUACGUCGUAGUCCGGAUCGGAGUCUGCAACUCGACUCCGUGAAGUCGGAAUCGCUAGUAAUCGUAGAUCAGAAUGCUACGGUGAAUACGUUCCCGGGCCUUGUACACACCGCCCGUCACACCAUGGGAGUGGGUUGCAAAAGAAGUAGGUAGCUUAACCUUCGGGAGGGCGCUUACCACUUUGUGAUUCAUGACUGGGGUGAAGUCGUAACAAGGUAACCGUAGGGGAACCUGCGGUUGGAUCACCUCCUUA
rnacentral:rRNA from 1 species